rnacentral:tRNA from 2 species
GGUGCGGUGGCUGAGUGGUCGAAGGCUGCGGUUUUGAAAACCGCCGGGCGGGCAACCGUCCCGUGGGUUCGAAUCCCACCCGCACCG